GCCGGAGUGGUGAAACUGGCAGACGCGCUGGACUCAAAAUCCAGUGGGGCUUAACCCCCGUGUGGGUUCGACUCCCACCUCCGGCACCA
rnacentral:tRNA from 1 species